rnacentral:miRNA from 1 species
UUCCCUAGUCCCCCUAUUCCUA